rnacentral:lncRNA from 1 species
CCCAUAUUUGUUAACGGUCGACAUUUUGCUUAAAUACUGACCUCUUCCUCUUCAACGUUCUUUGCUCAAGGGGUCGGCUAUUUGUAGAGAGGAUUUUGAGGCGAGGAGAGAGAGAGAGACAGAGAGAGAGAGAGAGGCUUUGACAGAAGGAGAACCACUCCCUUUCUCUUUUUAUCAGGUAUUUAUUACAUUUUCUUUUUCGUUUGAUCGUUUUUUAGCUCUCUCUGUUCUUGCUGGUUCAAUCAAUCAUGAACUUGCACUUGGUGUUUGAUCCUCUCGUGGGCUAUGUUAAACAAUGUCUGUUUUCUGUUCUUCUUCUCCAGGGUCUUAUAUAUUUUAGUUAGAUCCAGGUACCAAAGAUGAUGGAUUUGUUCAAGAUUAAUAACAAUUUUCUUAAAAAAUCUUGGGAUAUAUUCAUUUUUCUUCUCUUAAUAAAAGAAAACGUAGCUGAUCUAACACUGGC